rnacentral:rRNA from 1 species
UACGUAGGGGGCGAGCGUUGUCCGGAAUCAUUGGGCGUAAAGCGCGUGUAGGCGGCUUCGCAAGUUGGAUGUGAAAUCCCACGGCUCAACCGUGGACGUGCAUCCAAAACUGCGUCGCUGGAGUCUCGGAGAGGAAGGUGGAAUGCUUGGUGUAGAGGUGAAAUUCGUAGAUAUCAAGCAGAACACCUGCGGCGAAGGCGGCCUUCUGGACGAUGACUGACGCUGAGACGCGAAAGCGUGGGGAGCAAACAGG